UUGAUACCCAACUGUGCUCGAAGUCCAGCGGGUCCUCUCCAGGUCCUCUGCGCGUUACUGUUCUUGGUGCUGUAACCUCCUCAGCCUGCCAAGACAGCGAUGCAAGCGGCCAAGAGGGUGAUUCGCCUUCCACCCGAAGUAAAUUGGAUUUUGUAUAUAAGAAAUUUGCCAGGGCUGGGAAGAAAUUUGCCAUACAAAAUCAUAGCUGAAGACAUGUAUGAUAUCUUUGGGAAAUAUGGACCUAUUCGUCAAAUCAGAGUGGGAAACACACCUGAAACUAGAGGAACAGCUUAUGUAGUCUAUGAAGACAUUUUUGAUGCCAAGAAUGCAUGUGAGCACCUGUCAGGAUUCAGCGUUUGUCACAGAUAUCUUAUGGCUUUGUGCUAUAAUGCAACAGGGCAUUUCAGAAGAUGGACACCAAGAAAAAGGAGGAGCAGGUGAAGCUUCUCAAGGAGAAACAUGGCAGCAACACAGAUCCACCAGAAUAAAGGUUUCUCACAUUUUCAUUUUAGACUAAACCUAUGAGUAACCACCACUACCAUUUUU